UAAAGUGGCCCUAUAUAAGGUUAGGAC
rnacentral:piRNA from 1 species